rnacentral:rRNA from 1 species
GAUGAACGCUGGCGGCGUGCUUAACACAUGCAAGUCGAGCGAGCGGAACCAACAGAUUUACUUCGGUAAUGACGUUGGGAAAGCGAGCGGCGGAUGGGUGAGUAACACGUGGGGAACCUGCCCCUAAGUCUGGGAUACCAUUUGGAAACUGGUGCUAAUACCGGAUAAUAAAGCAGAUCGCAUGAUCAGCUUUUGAAAGGCGGCGUAAGCUGUCGCUAAGGGAUGGCCCCGCGGUGCAUUAGCUAGUUGGUAAGGUAACGGCUUACCAAGGCGACGAUGCAUAGCCGAGUUGAGAGACUGAUCGGCCACAUUGGGACUGAGACACGGCCCAA